AUCUCACGUGAAACCAAAGAAACAACAAAAGAAAAAUCUCUCUCCUUCAUCCUUCACCCUUCACGUGAACCCUCAAACCCUCAAACCUUGCAGCCGCCAGCCACCAGCCACCGCACACCGCCUGCACCACCCUCGCCGUCGGCGUCUCCUCCUUCGUCCGCAACCACCACCCACCUGCGAAAAUGACCGCGACGGCCACCGUCCUGUGUCGUCGCCGACCAACCAGCACCAACUUCGCAAUCCUUCCACACGCAAACAGUCCUCCCUUUGGCUUGCUCCUUGCUCACGGCACCACCACCAACGACCCGAGCAACCCUCGCUGCCACCAUCGACAGCCGCCACCGCCGCUGCCGCGCCAUCUCCGACCGCCGUCCAACCACUCUUCAUUCUUUCUUUUGGUGGAGAAUUCUCCGUAGGCGACUUUUGAAUUAUUAAAGUGGUCUUGCAGUUUGUUUACACAAGUCUCUAAGGAUCAAUAAGCGUUGCCCAUCUACAGGUUUGAAGAUGAUGCAUCAUUGGGAUCGGGAUUAGAGAGCUUGUAGUUCUAUUCGUUUAAUUAAGUGAUUUAAUUUGUUAACUUGGAUUUGAAAUUUGUCGUACUAUUCGUGUUUCCUUAAUUCAGUUAAUUGGUUUGGACCUAA